CACGAAGGGUGCAAGCGUUACUCGGAAUUACUGGGCGUAAAGCGUGCGUAGGCGGUUUGUUAAGUCUGUCGUGAAAGCCCCGGGCUCAACCUGGGAAUGGCGAUGGAUACUGGCGAGCUAGAGUACGGUAGAGGAGAGUGGAAUUCCCGGUGUAGCAGUGAAAUGCGUAGAGAUCGGGAGGAACAUCAGUUGCGAAGGCGGCUCUCUGGACCAGUACUGACGCUGAGGCACGAAAGCGUGGGGAGCAAACAGG
rnacentral:rRNA from 1 species